AUACGAAAUGAUUUAAAAAAUUCAAUGUAUCGUAUCGAUGUGUAUCGUAUCGGCCGACUAAAUUUAAGAUACGUAUCGGAGGGUAUCGUAUCGGUAUCGGAGAUACUUAAAACCAUGGUUGAGGCUUAUCUGCGGCAAAGAUAUGAAGGACAAAUUGAUGGAUAUAGAAGUCAUGGAGGAAGAGGAUUUUGAUCUGUUAUCCUUUUCCUUCCUCAACCUCAUGAGAAAAAUAUCUCCAUUAGAGUUCCGCUUAAUAUUUUGCUUCAUUGAAGUAGUGAUUUACUAAUUAUCCAAUGUACAUCCUUAUUCCAAGUAAGGUAUCCUUUUUAUUUUUAUUUUAUACUUGAUGCUUAGUUAUUCGGGAUAAGAUACUCGCUAUAGAAUAUUGAUCGCUAGAGGAAUAAGUUCUGGUAAUCCCUUAUAGGUGCUGUCUUUGUAAGAAUGAUGUGAAAUAUAUUAGGUAUAUAUUGUUAGCAUGAAUUUUCAUUUGGGAAUUACAAGCUAGAUGGAUGGCGUGUUUUGCUAAUUGGUAAGAUUGCCUGAUAAAUAUACAUUCCCCUUUUGUAGAUCCCCCCUGGGAUGGCUUUUCCUUGUUGGCUUAAGCUUUCGCCCCCCCUCUUUCCCCUUGUAUAUUCUUCUCCUCUUGGUAAUGAAUUAUUUAUUCAUCCAAAAAAAAAAAGUUGGAGACUUGAUUUCCUACAGCUGGUUUUGUACAUGUUUAUAAUCUCAGUUAUAUUGCAGAUAAAUUAUUUAUAUGGCGAGUUGCAUCAUAAUUGAUCCACCAUCCUUCAAACUGCUCAUCACUAAGAUUGACUCAACAUUACCAAUGAAUUCUUUACUUUGGUGGGUUUCAGGUGGUGCAAGGUUUCUAUUGGUGUUCUUCUGAGGAUUGGGACUGACGGAUAGCCCUGAAAUGACUAAACUUGCCACGCCCAUUGCAUGUUCUAGGGUUUCUAUUGGUGUUCUUAUUACUGGUGUUUUCUUUGAGGUUCACUAAUCUUUUGGAGUUGUGGUGGAGGUUUUGAAUAUAUGUCACCGGUUGACCAGUUUAUUUUGCAUAGUCUAUGGGGGGAUUCUCUUCUGGAUGACUUAUAACCAU